rnacentral:rRNA from 1 species
UACAGAGGGUGCGAGCGUUAAUCGGAAUUACUGGGCGUAAAGGGCUCGUAGGCGGCCAACUAAGUCAGACGUGAAAUCCCUCAGCUUAACUGGGGAACUGCGUCUGAUACUGGAUGGCUUGGAUUCGGGAGAGGGAUGCGGAAUUCCAGGUGUAGCGGUGAAAUGCGUAGAUAUCUGGAGGAACACCGGUGGCGAAGGCGGCAUUCUGGACCGAUAUUGACGCUGAGGAGCGAAAGCCAGGGGAGCAAACGGG